rnacentral:rRNA from 1 species
GGGUUGUGAGGUUAAGCGACUAAGCGUACACGGUGGAUGCCCUGGCAGUCAGAGGCGAUGAAGGACGUGCUAAUCUGCGAAAAGCGUCGGUAAGGUGAUAUGAACCGUUAUAGCCGGCGAUGUCCGAAUGGGGAAACCCAGUGCAAUUCGUUGCACUAUCGUUAACUGAAUACAUAGUUUAACGAGGCGAACCGGGGGAACUGAAACAUCUAAGUACCCCGAGGAAAAGAAAUCAACCGAGAUUCCCCCAGUAGCGGCGAGCGAACGGGGAGCAGCCCGGAGUCUGAAUCAGCUUGUGUGUUAGUGGAAGCGUCUGGAAAGUCGCAGGGUACAGGGUGAUACUCCCGUACACUAAAACACACAGGUUGUGAACUCGAAGAGUAGGGCGGGACACGUGGUAUCCUGUCUGAAUAUGGGGGGACCAUCCUCCAAGGCUAAAUACUCCUGACUGACCGAUAGUGAACCAGUACCGUGAGGGAAAGGCGAAAAGAACCCCGGCGAGGGGAGUGAAAAAGAACCUGAAACCGUGUACGUACAAGCAGUAGGAGCCCACUAGUUGGGUGACUGCGUACCUUUUGUAUAAUGGGUCAGCGACUUAUAUUCUGUAGCAAGGUUAACCGUAUAGGGGAGCCGCAGGGAAACCGAGUCUUAACUGGGCGUUAAGUUGCAGGGUAUAGACCCGAAACCCGGUGAUCUAGCCAUGGGCAGGUUGAAGGUUGGGUAACACUAACUGGAGGACCGAACCGACUAAUGUUGAAAAAUUAGCGGAUGACUUGUGGCUGGGGGUGAAAGGCCAAUCAAACCGGGAGAUAGCUGGUUCUCCCCGAAAGCUAUUUAGGUAGCGCCUCGUGAACUCAUCUUCGGGGGUAGAGCACUGUUUCGGCUAGGGGGUCAUCCCGACUUACCAACCCGAUGCAAACUACGAAUACCGAAGAAUGUUAUCACGGGAGACACACGGCGGGUGCUAACGUCCGUCGUGAAGAGGGAAACAACCCAGACCGCCAGCUAAGGUCCCAAAGUCAUGGUUAAGUGGGAAACGAUGUGGGAAGGCCCAGACAGCCAGGAUGUUGGCUUAGAAGCAGCCAUCAUUUAAAGAAAGCGUAAUAGCUCACUGGUCGAGUCGGCCUGCGCGGAAGAUGUAACGGGGCUAAACCAUGCACCGAAGCUGCGGCAGCGACACUAUGUGUUGUUGGGUAGGGGAGCGUUCUGUAAGCCGUUGAAGGUGGCCUGUGAGGGUUGCUGGAGGUAUCAGAAGUGCGAAUGCUGACAUAAGUAACGAUAAUGCGGGUGAAAAACCCGCACGCCGGAAGACCAAGGGUUCCUGUCCAACGUUAAUCGGGGCAGGGUGAGUCGACCCCUAAGGCGAGGCCGAAAGGCGUAGUCGAUGGGAAACAGGUUAAUAUUCCUGUACUCGGUGUUACUGCGAAGGGGGGACGGAGAAGGCUAUGUUGGCCGGGCGACGGUUGUCCCGGUUUAAGCAUGUAGGCGGAUGUUCCAGGUAAAUCCGGAACGUUACUAACGCUGAGGUGUGAUGACGAGGCACUACGGUGCUGAAGUGACAAAUGCCCUGCUUCCAGGAAAAGCCUCUAAGCAUCAGGUAACAUCAAAUCGUACCCCAAACCGACACAGGUGGUCAGGUAGAGAAUACCAAGGCGCUUGAGAGAACUCGGGUGAAGGAACUAGGCAAAAUGGUGCCGUAACUUCGGGAGAAGGCACGCUGAUGGUAGGUGAAGUGACUUGCUCAUGGAGCUGAAAUCAGUCGAAGAUACCAGCUGGCUGCAACUGUUUAUUAAAAACACAGCACUGUGCAAACACGAAAGUGGACGUAUACGGUGUGACGCCUGCCCGGUGCCGGAAGGUUAAUUGAUGGGGUUAUCCGUAAGGAGAAGCUCUUGAUCGAAGCCCCGGUAAACGGCGGCCGUAACUAUAACGGUCCUAAGGUAGCGAAAUUCCUUGUCGGGUAAGUUCCGACCUGCACGAAUGGCGUAAUGAUGGCCAGGCUGUCUCCACCCGAGACUCAGUGAAAUUGAACUCGCUGUGAAGAUGCAGUGUACCCGCGGCAAGACGGAAAGACCCCGUGAACCUUUACUAUAGCUUGACACUGAACACUGGUCCUUGAUGUGUAGGAUAGGUGGGAGGCUUUGAAGUGUGGACGCCAGUCUGCAUGGAGCCAUCCUUGAAAUACCACCCUUUAAUGGCUGGUGUUCUAACGUGGGCCCGUAAUCCGGGUUGCGGACAGUGUCUGGUGGGUAGUUUGACUGGGGCGGUCUCCUCCUAAAGAGUAACGGAGGAGCACGAAGGUCAGCUAAUCCUGGUCGGACAUCAGGAGGUUAGUGCAAUGGCAUAAGCUGGCUUGACUGCGAGCGUGACGGCGCGAGCAGGUGCGAAAGCAGGUCAUAGUGAUCCGGUGGUUCUGAAUGGAAGGGCCAUCGCUCAACGGAUAAAAGGUACUCCGGGGAUAACAGGCUGAUACCGCCCAAGAGUUCAUAUCGACGGCGGUGUUUGGCACCUCGAUGUCGGCUCAUCACAUCCUGGGGCUGAAGUAGGUCCCAAGGGUAUGGCUGUUCGCCAUUUAAAGUGGUACGCGAGCUGGGUUUAGAACGUCGUGAGACAGUUCGGUCCCUAUCUGCCGUGGGCGCUGGAGAAUUGAGGGGGGCUGCUCCUAGUACGAGAGGACCGGAGUGGACGCAUCACUGGUGUUCGGGUUGUCAUGCCAAUGGCAUUGCCCGGUAGCUAAAUGCGGAAGAGAUAAGUGCUGAAAGCAUCUAAGCACGAAACUUGCCCCGAGAUGAGUUCUCCCUGACUCCUUGAGAGUCCUGAAGGAACGUUGAAGACGACGACGUUGAUAGGCCGGGUGUGUAAGCGCAGCGAUGCGUUGAGCUAACCGGUACUAAUGAACCGUGAGGCUUAACCUUACAACGCCGAAG